GGGGUCGUAGCCCAAUUGGCAGGAGGCAAACGGUUUAGGUCCGUUCCAGUGCGGGUUCGAGUCCCGCCGACCCCACC
rnacentral:tRNA from 1 species